AAAACGAACGCACCAUUAUACAGAAACUGUGCAGCCGACGCUCUUGAAACGAACGCACCAUGAUUGAGCGAGCUGCGAGCUGUCAAACUUUUUCUCUCGCGCGUGUUCAUUCAUGUUUCGUGUUGGCCGUGUUGGCUGCAGUUUCGAAUCGAAAUCAAGUUUUACUCGCGUGUGCUUAUGAAAAAUAACCUCCGUCAUCAAAACCGCCGGGUGAACGAACCGGAACAUCUCCGGGAUGGCGGAUUUUUCUCACAUUUGGUGGGCGUGUGGAGCUGUUCGGUUACGGGACAAAACCCGCAAUGGAAACGCAGACCCGGCGCAUACUGCGGACAUUUCCGGCCACCGUCAAUAAUCCAUUCCGAAUGGAGGCCUCCAAGAUGCCAAGUGCUCGAUCUGGAAAAGCUACGAGGAGUUCGAACAUCUUCGUAGUCUACUACUUCCAACGCGGAUGCUCGUAGACGUGAAAUGCGGACAUUCCAGUUUGCCAUCAUGGUUCCUUUCUUGGUGGCAAUGUUAAUUCCUGAAGCAGCAGGACAUUUGAAGAUGAAGAAGUGGACUCUCGACAAAACGGAGCUUUUGGCCGACAGCUUGAAGCGGAAUUACGAAAGAAAACGUCGGAGGGAGCCCAACGACAGUUUCAACUCGACCGCGGCCGUGAUUAAAGGAAACCCUUCCUGAAUGGCGAGAUGCUGGACGGACGGCGGUGACGAAAAUCCUGACGGGAGUUGUGAGUGACGAGUAAUAAGAAAAGCUUGCUUUGUUUCUAAUAAAUUGUUUCAUUUGUGAAGUUUAAUUUAAAAAAAAACAGUGUAAAUGAAACUAAAAUAAAAUAAAACAACAAUUAAUUUAAGGAAAAUACCGUAAAACAUACCAUAAAUAAAAUAAAAGUACAAUAAAACCUGCUGUAGUUAUUAUUUAUUUCAAUGUACGAAUAUAGUUUAAACAGUACUAUUUAGCAGGGAAAAAAUCUUGAAGAACUAUACAUUUACUGUGAAAUCCAUUGUAAAGGUUACUGUAUUUGUUGUAAAUGUAUGAUGUUUUCUAUAGUCAGGGCAUGUUUUUGAAUGAAAAAUGCAACAUUAGAUUAACAGUAAAAUGCGUCGUAUUUGGAAAAAAAAUGUAUGGAAAAAUUUCGAAAUUUUUAUGGUACCGGUGCAUAACAACCCCCCUUUUUUAUGGUUAAGUCCCAAAAUACGACGCAAAUUAUCUUAAAAAACGAUGCUGUCUACUGUUAAAACACUGUCAAAAUGACAAUAUAUUUUAUCGUUUUGUAACGUUAAAAUUUACUGUAAGUUCAUCAGAAAUCUUUAUGCGGGCCUGAAUUUAACUGAUAUUUUCACAAAAAAAGUUAGCAGACCAUUCAUAAAACAUUACUAAGCAUGAGUUUUACUGGUUUCCGAAUGUGAAGUCAUUAUUUUUAUAAAAAUAUGUACCCCUGGAGCGAUAAAAAAGAUUGUUUACAUCGUUAGAAAAAAGUGUUCCGAAUUUGUAGAUUUCAAGGGUCGAAGUUUUUCUUCAAAAACUUGAUAUAAAACGAUAAAAUUUGCAGUUGUUCGAUACAGCAUUCGAAAGAUCGCAAAAACAGCUUUCAAAUGAAGGUAAAAGCGAAUCAUUAUGUUCAAUUAUCGAUUUUCUAUGAUUUUUUGAAUAUUGGUCGAACUGUAAACUGUUCCUAAUAUGAGGGAUGACUGUAUACAAAUAUUUAAAAAAAAUUAAGAUUGUCAUUAUGUUUAGUCUUCCAGCAGAUUGUUUGCUAUAGUUUUUUAAUUUCAGGCUUAUUUAAUGAAAAUAAAUUUUACUAGAAAAUCACAUCACAUUAUAUUGUUUUAUUAAA